GCUGUAUAUAACAUAAUGCUUUAAAAUAUUCAUACAUUAUAGAAUGACUCAAUAGCAUAUUUUCAUAUGCUUAUUUUUUGUAGUGAGAAUACCUAGAAAUCCAUAUGCUGUACUAUAGAUACAUAUUUAUGUUUAUUGCUGCACUAUUCAUAGUAGCUAAGAACUAGAUUAGAUGGCCAUCAAGAGAUGAAUGAAUUUUGUUUUUUGGUUUUUGGAGAUAGUGUUUCUCUGUAGCUCUGGCUGUUCUGGACUCACUCUGUAUACCAGGCUGGCCUCAAACUCCUGCCUGUCUCCCAAGUGCUGGGAUUAAAGGCAUGCAUCAUUACCUCCUAGCUUGAAAUUUUUUAGAUUAAAAAAAAAAAAAAAGAUAAAUUUGGGGUAUGGAAAAGCACCACAGCACACCUGCUAACUCUUACUGUAAGAGGACAAUGUGUGGAGCCAGGUCUCCCCUUACACCUUAUGGAUUCCAGGGCUUGAACUCAUCAGUAGGCAAGCUCUCUUGUCAGACAUCACAGCAGUCCUUGAAACCCAUUUCUUUGUAUGUUAAUAACACUUGCACACUGCUAUUAGCUAUUUAGCAUGUGACAUACUAGUAGGCCCCUUGAGCUUAUUACUUUCACCUGAAGUUCCCAACCCUCUGGCUAACAGCUCUCCCACCCUACCCCUCCCAUCAUUAUUUUACCGUCCUAUAUUUGCUUCUAACUUCAGGUUUUUGUUUUUGUUUUUUUUUUCAAGAAAACAAGACUUUAUUGAUCUUUAAGGUGCCAACACAAAAUUGCCAACUGACAUUAGGUAAAAAAAGGACAUUAAACAUUAGCACUAACGUUGACCCUGGGGGUUGGUUUAGUCAACAGGACCCUGGCUCAAUUUCCACCCCCCACAUCCAGAUGAGAUUCUAGAUUCUGCAUGCUCAUGAUGCAGACACCAUAAAUGACACUAACCAUGUCUCAGAUGUUCUCACUGAAACUCCAAGAUGCCUGGAGUUCCCACUGUAGCUGGCACUGGCAUUAACUCUCCCCACCUAAUGUCUGGACAGUGAGUGAACACUCAAGGUCUAGAAAAGGAACUGAAGACUUCAGGGACAGAUGUCUGGAAAUGGUGCUCCCUGGAGUAAGUUCAGUUUCUUAAAACUGCACACUACAGGUUUUUGGAUUACUUUCUCCUUUGUUAAGGAGUGCCGCUUUGUUGAGUAUACAAGACACGUUUCCUUUAUUCAUUUGUUGAUGGACAUUUAGGUUUUGCAUGUCUUGGCUGUUGUGACAGUGCUGAAGCAGACACAGCCAUGGGUAUGCAGAUGUCUUUUCCAUGCACUAUUUUCAUUCUCUUUAUCUGUAUAUCCAGGAAUGGGAUUGUGCAAUCAUAUGAUAAAGUAGUUUUUUCCCCCAGUCCUAACCUUGAACAUGUUAAGCUUGCACUCUAUUGCUGAGCUUUGUGCUUUGAAAGAAAUGGGGUCUGUUAGUCCUGCUGGUAUACACUCUUACUGCUAGCACUUGGGAGGCAGAGGCAGGAGGCUUUCCAUGAGUUUGAGGCCAGCAUGGUUUACACAGUGAGUUCCAGGGUAGCAAAGGCUAUGUAGUGUAGGGUCUCAAAACAACAAAGCAAAGAAAUAGCACUUCUUUACUCCUCAAAGGACCCAGAUUGGUUUCCAGCUCAGGUGUUGGGGUUUACCACUGCCUCUAAUUCCAGUGGAUCCAUUACCUCUGUUCUAUAAGGACACCUGCACACAAGUGCACAUAUUCACACACACACACAAACACCCAAAUAAAAAUUGCCAACCCUCCUGUCUUAGUCUCCCAAGUAAAGUAACUAACAGAGGCAUAACUACCAUGCCUGGCUGAUAGUCUUAAUUAUUUCUUAAGUUUUUCAUUUUGUGUGUAUGGGUAUUUGACUACAUGUGUAUCUAUGCAGCAUAAGUGCAGUACCCAAGAAAGCCAGAAGAGGGCAUCAGAUCCCCUAAAAUUGGAGUUAGAUGGUUGUAAAUUGUCAUGUGGUUGCUGGUAAUCAAACUUGGGUCCUCUGGAAGAGAAGUCAGUGCUUAACCACUGGGCCACCUCUCUAGACCCUUUAUUUUUGAGACUGGAUCUGUGUGUUUGUCUUGACAUUCUGUUUUCUCUAUUAUGAUUUUGUGGUACAUUUUCAGUUAUUUUGUGAUGGUUCCACACUGGCUCUGUUUAAGAUCACUCUGGUUAUGAAUCUUUUGUGUUCCAUAGAAUUUUAAAAUUACAUUACAAAGUACAGGAAAAUUAUUUAAAAACACAGUAUUACACCUUAAAAUUUUAUAAUUGGUGUGUGUGUGUGUGUGUGUGUGAGUAUCACAGCGCACACACCGCAAGUGAGAGAACAACUUGAACGAGCAGUUUUACUUCUACCAUCUGGAUCCAGUAGCCUGAACUCAGGUUGUCAGGCUUGAACCUUAACCGCUAAGCCAUCUCACCAGCCUGCUUUAUGUGGAUCUUUCAUGGUUCCAUUCAAUUUUUAAGAUUUUAAUUUCUGAAAGUAUCUUUGGAAUUUUGAUGGGGACAGCAUUGAUCCUAGAUCUUGCCUUGGAUAGUGUGAAUGUGUUAACAAUAUUAGUUUUUUCAAACACCAAACAUGUUUUUUUCUUUUGCCUCUUCAAUGUCUUUCCGUUUUGAGGCAUAUACUCUAGACAGUAUUUUGUAGCUGCUGUGAGGAAUGUAUCUUUGAUAACUGUUAGUGGAUAGAAACAUGGAUGCCUUUUGUAUGUUCAUUUGUGAUCUGCAACUUUCUUGAGACAGGGUCUCAUACAUGCUAGGCUGGCCUCAAACUCAAUGUAAAAUUAAGAUGACCCUGACCUUUUGAUCCUCUUGCCUCUACCUCUUGAGACAUCACCACCACACCCCUCCCAUACGGUGCUGCUGCUUGAGACUGAGCCCUUAUGAACACAUUCUUGAGUGGACUUUCCUAUCACUAGACUCAAGAGUCCAGCAGAGCUGUAGGACUGAGGUCAUUCACAGAAAAACACCCGAACAAGGAAAUAAUAGGCUUUGCACAGGUGGCUCCAAAGACAUGCACUGUCCACCCUCCACUGGGCAGAGAGGAUCAAGUCCUGUGAAGGACUCCAGAACAACAAGCACAGCACCCAGAAAGGGUGAUACCUAGAUUUACUCACCAGAGCCCUUGAAAGUACAGUUCUCAUUUUUCUAGAUGUGUAGAGUACCACAUUUUCUGGCUGUGGAGUGCCAGAAGGUUUUGAUUUUGUUCUGCUAAUUGUAUAGGCACUGUUGGAAGCCGUGGUAGUUUUAACUUCAAGGCCUCCAUUUAAGGUUACUAUUUUGGGAAGUUGCCGUUAGCUGUGUCACUUGCUAUAACAUCUUGCUGCAGCGUUCAGAGGCCUGAGACUUGAACACCCAGCUUUGCAAUAGACACAGCUCUCUGCUGCUAACUCCUGCAGGUUUGUGCAUGCCUUUCCAGGAGCCAAGUGAUCACUUGUGACUGUCUAUCCUCUUCCCUGCUCACUCUUCCCAGAGGUCAGGUCUGCAUCAAGACCGGAAAGCCAUCCCUUCCAAUAAGUCCUUUUAUACUUUGAACUUGCCCCUGGCAUCUGCUUCCUGGAACCAUGACUGACAGAACUACCCACCCACAAUGGUGCUGGGCAAAGCCUACAGGCUCACUCUACUUGAAGAUUUAAAAAAAUAAACCUUCAACCGGUGUAGUGGUACUGGGUGCACAUCUUUAAUCCUAGCACUCCAGAGGCAAAGACAAGCAGAUUUCUGAGUUUGAGGCCAACCUGGUCUACAAAGUAAGUUCUAGGACUGCCAGCGCUACACAGAGAAACCCUAUUUUGAAAACCUCCAAACAAAUCUUCAAUACACCAACAAUGCAAACUGGAAAGCAGUGCCACCUGGCACGGAAGGAUUGCAGAAGAUGCAGGCUACCACAGAUACAGCCUGCUAUCUCCUGGGGUUACAAGUCACUUUCCAGUGUGGCUGAAGAGGAAUCACCCAGGAACUGGUUAAAAUACUAUUUAUUUUAAAAAUAUUCAUAAUUUAUCGAGUACUUACUAUGUGAUAGGAACCAUGGCAGAGCUUUGCAUACAUUGUUUCAUUCAAUACUUAGAUAACUCUUGUACAGAUCUCCAUUUCCCAGAUAAGGAAAUGGAGUUAAUUAGAUGUUGAGCUUGGACUUGAAUCAACUGACUGAUGCCAAAACUAACACUCUUUAGCUAAACACACACACACACACACACACACACACACCACACACAGAGCUUGAGCACACCCACCCCUUAUGUGAUGUCUAUUUAAAAUAAUCAAGUUUCUAAGGAAGAAAAACAAGAAUUAACUUGAGAGAAAUUAGUCAAAAUACACAGAGAAAAUGAAACCACUGAGUUGAAUCCCUUAGAAGUUGUAUAGAGGGGAAAUAGUUGAAGGCAGGUAGGAUUUUUGAAGAAAAAGUUUUAAGUCUUGACCAGCUCUAAGUGCUCCUGGACACAGGAUUUUUCUGGGCUCAUUCUUACAAACCUGUUAAUGAGGUAAGAUGACUAGCUUUCCAGAGCUAACAUCAGAUAUUUUCUUCCUACAUGGAAUUUUUUAAUCAUUCUGUAUAAAAUCAAACUAGUAAGUUUAUAUUUAUCAAAUCACACAAGAAGUAAAAUGAUCUGCUGGGCCUCACAUGAACAUCAAAUCUCAAUAUCCACCCAAAGAAGUGACUCUUGGCUUCUUCAUGCAAAGGACCUCCAGAUGGUCCCUAUCUCAGGCUUCCUGUUCAGAGCAUGCAUGUACACAUGCAUGGAUGGAUGUGGUAUUAAAAAUGGAUGAAAGAGCCUUUAAUAAUAUUGCCAUUCCCCUAUCUUGGCAGGUUUGAUUGCUUGUUUAUUUCUGGUUGUAGGUGAGAGGUCAGAGACAGAAAAAAUUGUGAAGGUGCUUAAGAGUUGUCAACUUAAAAACCCUCAUCUGAAGUCCUUUCCCAUUGUCUUCAUUCUUCUCUACAUCUGCAAGACAUUUUCUUUACUACAGACUUCUGUUUGUUCCACCUUCAGGAAAAGGCUUAAGAGGCCAGCAUCAGCAGAGAGGGCAAGAGGAGAACUGUUCGGGUUGGGGUGUGUCAUCUUAGCUCUCCCAGCCCCAUCUGUCCUGUGGGGUCACCCGUGAAGCACAGUUAGUGCAGACAGGAAAAGCAGUUCGAGCCUUUCUGGGAGGAAGGAGGUAGAGAAAAGAAAACAAAAUACAUUAUUCUGUGGGAAAUAGGAGUGUAAAAAACUCACUGUUUACUAUGUUAAAAAAAGGAUGGCACAUUUAUUGCUACAUAAAUGUUAUAUACAUACUGUGUUUUCUGUUACAGUGACAGAAAAAAAAAUUUGAACUUCUUGCUGCUGGUUGAAAAGGUUUAUCAAUAAUACCUUAAAUUUGACACAGGAUACAAAUCUGCAAUAAACCAACAAUGGAAACUGGAGAACAAGAUGAAAAGCAGCUCAUCUCCAACAAUUCGCUCUCACAAUACUCCAUAGGAACUACACGGUAUGCUAGAACCUACUAUGCUCUUAAAAUGCUAUUGUAAAUUUCUGAUAUUAAUGAACAGGUUAUGGUAAAUAACCCUACAUUUUCUUUAACUACCUAAUAUAAUAAAAUAAAGUAAGAAACUUUUUACUGAAAAUUUUUGAUUUCAAAAAUCUAGAAAGAGUAAUAUUUAGAAUUCAAGAAAUUUUCUUACAAGAUUAUUGUAUAAAAGACUAGCUACAGUGAAAAAUAAGCCAAAUGUUUUUUUCUUUCUAUUUUAUGAAGGAAAGCUUCUGGGCAUACUGCAAAGUCUAAUAUAGCGAAAAAGACAACAAGCUCUGAAGAAAAAAGGCCAGGCAGUGGCUUAUGUUCACUCACACAUCAUAAGCAACAACUUCUGUUUUAGCUGAUUAACACUGAAAUGAAGAACAAGGCCACAGAUAGAGUAUGAUGUAACUGGAGAACAUAUGCAAAUUAAGGUAUGCAAAUCAAGUCCACUAAAUUCACCUAAGACUGACUUGUUAGAAAUAGUCCUUAUGGAGGAUCUGAAGUGCUGUCCUAACAGUUUGUUCUUUCAAAUUCUCCGGAGUCUAUAAGUUCCAGAACGACUUGGGAUUUUUCUUCUAUGUGCAGACUGAGACUGAUACUGGCUCUAAGGAGUUACUUAGCCAAGACCAUUGUGUUCAGCAUGUUUUUCUCUCCCAGGGAUGCUGUGGUGGAAGACAGAUUUCAUGGAAGUUCAAAGUGAUUACCGUGUCUUAAAUACAACUAUGAAGGAUUGGAGACAGAGGGGCUUUAAUGCAUAAUGCUAAAAUGGACUGACAAGUACAGCUCAGCGCUAAUCUGGCUCUUCUUGGGGUGAGGGCAGGUGGUUUGCAGGUGAUCAAAUCACCCUCCUGCCCCACACCCCCACUGACCAGCCACCCAAAGGACAGAAAUAAAGGCUAGAAUAAGGAAAUGUGACCAUUGCUCUUGGAUUCCAUAGGUAAUUAGCCUCAUAGUGGUUGUGUGCCUUCAUCACACUGCCUGUCCUGGUGACUAAUGAGUUUUGUUACACUCACCAUGAUCAUGGCCUGAAAAGUCAUCUUUGUAUUGUACUGAAUGCAUUUUGUGCUUACUUACAGCUAACACUUUACAAGUACUAUAUUGUGUAGUACUUACUGCUUGGAAAACAAAGCAAUUUUCUAAAAAGUAGACUCUCCCUUGUAAGUUACACUUCUUGCUAUUAUAGCUUUACUAUGAAACCUAGAAGCCUGAAAAGUCUUAGUGAUUAUUAGAAAUAAAGCAAUGUUUAUUUGGGGGCAAAUCCAGGGGACAAAAUUUCCCCUUUCAAAAUCUUAGCUAGGCUAUGGUCACAGAUGGUGUCUGCUUACCACUGCAAGGACAUGAACAAAGCACACAGGGCUGCAAGGAGGGUUCUGGAUUGUGACCAUAACCUAUGCCGACUCAGAUCAAAUAUAACACCCACAAAGAGAAAAUAAAAAUGAAUGAAAAAACAAGAGAGAAAUGCUAUACCAAGUAAUAUUUUCCUAUUUCAUGGAAAACACUAUUUAUAUGGCGAAGGUCGGAGAGGGCAACAAAGGACUCCCUUCCUUUUUAAGACACUAACAGGUAUGCCGGGAAUGCUAAGGGCCAAUGGUUGCCACUGCUUUGUGAACAGCUUUAACAAUGCUGGCAUCAGCUGAGUGUAGAUCAGCUUCCCACAUGAACUUUUCCCUUUAUAUGUAGACCUCACAGUUCCAUAACAAUAAAUAAAAUUUGUAGUUACAAUGCAUUUGUCAAUUCAGUUUAGGCACAAGGCAACUUCCACAUUGAGUGGAGAGAUGAGACAGUCUCUGAUUGUGCAGAAGCGACACAUUGCUUACAGCAGAAUGAUAUGCUGUAAACACCUCAUGGGCCGGCGUUCUCUCAUGAGCUUCCUAUCCUCACUUCUGAUGGAAGUGUUGACCAGUUGCUUUGAUCAUAGGAUUACAUUUGAGUUUCUUGCUUCAAGUGUUUUGUUUUUCUUCUCCUUCCUGUCAGGUUUGUGUCUUCAGAUAAUCUGAGUUGUCCAAGUCUUUAUGAGGAGAGGUCACCUUCUAUCUAGCCUACUGUUGAUGCUGGAACUGUGGCAGGGAGAAGAGGACAGUUAGUAUGCAAUUAUUAAACAUAACACCACUCCCCCAAAUCCCAGUUGUUGUUCAUUAUAUCUAGGCUUGCACUAAGUUAGUCCAAGUGACUUACACAAGAGCUUCUUUCUUUUCAGGUUAUUAGAGGUCCUUCCUCACCUGAUUAUUUUUACUAUACAUAAAAGCUUAGGAUAAAGUUUACAAAUU
rnacentral:lncRNA from 1 species